AUCCACAGCUAUAUCACCCAGUAGCCCAAGACCGGUUACUCACUGAAGCUAAGCAGGGCUGAGCCUGGUCAGUAUCUGGAUGGGAGACCACAUGGAAAAACUAGGUUGCUAGUUGUGGUGU
ensembl:rRNA 5S_rRNA 5S ribosomal RNA